rnacentral:rRNA from 1 species
GGGUUUGAUUAUGGCUCAGGAUGAACGCUGGCGGCGUGGAUAAGGCAUGCAAGUCAAACGGCUCUUCGGAGCAGUGGCAGACGAGGUAGUAACACGUAGGAACCAACCCAGAAGUCAGGAAUAACUCAUCGAAAGAUGAGCUAAUACUUGAUAGUCCCUAAGGGGUAAAGAUUUAUCGCUUUUGGAUGGGCCUGCGUAAUAUCAGCUUGUUGGUAGUGUAAUGGACUACCAAGGCUAUGACGUUUAGGGGGGCUGAGAGGCUGAUCCCCACCGAUGGUACUGAGAUACGGACCAUACACCUACGGGUGGCCGCAGUCGAGAAUCUUCCGCAAUGGGCGAAAGCCUGACGGAGCGACGCCGCGUGAUUGAUGAAGUCUUUCGGGAUGUAAAAAUCUUUUCGGAAGGAGGAAGUAAUUGACGUU